rnacentral:rRNA from 1 species
AGCGCAGGCGGUCUUUUAAGUCUAAUGUGAAAGCCUUCGGCUCAACCGAAGAAGUGCAUUGGAAACUGGGAGACUUGAGUGCAGAAGAGGACAGUGGAACUCCAUGUGUAGCGGUGAAAUGCGUAGAUAUAUGGAAGAACACCAGUGGCGAAGGCGGCUGUCUGGUCUGUAACUGACGCUGAGGCUCGAAAGCAUGGGUAGCGAACA